rnacentral:rRNA from 1 species
CGUAGGUGGCAAGCGUUGUCCGGAGUUACUGGGUGUAAAGGGCGUGUAGGCGGGAAGGUAAGUCAGAUGUGAAAUUCCAUGGCUCAACUGUGGCGCUGCAUCUGAAACUAUCUUUCUUGAGUGAUGGAGAGGAAAGUGGAAUUCCUAGUGUAGCGGUGAAAUGCGUAGAUAUUAGGAGGAACACCAGUGGCGAAGGCGACUUUCUGGACAUUAACUGACGCUGAGGCGCGAAAGCGUGGGGAGCAAACAGGAUUAGAUACCCUGGUAGUCCACGCUGUAAACGAUGGAUACUAGGUGUAGGAGGUAUCGACCCCUUCUGUGCCGGAGUUAACACAAUAAGUAUCCCACCUGGGGAUACGGCCGCAAGGUUG